UAGGGAAUCUUCCACAAUGGACGCAAGUCUGAUGGAGCAACGCCGCGUGAGUGAAGAAGGUUUUCGGAUCGUAAAGCUCUGUUGUUGGUGAAGAAGGAUAGAGGUAGUAACUGGCCUUUAUUUGACGGUAAUCAACCAGAAAGUCACGGCUAACUACGUGCCAGCAGCCGCGGUAAUACGUAGGUGGCAAGCGUUGUCUGGAUUUAUUGGGCGUAAAGCGAGCGCAGGCGGAAGAAUAAGUCUGAUGUGAAAGCCCUCGGCUUAACCGAGGAACUGCAUCGGAAACUGUUUUUCUUGAGUGCAGAAGAGGAGAGUGGAAUUCCAUGUGUAGCGGUGGAAUGCGUAGAUAUAUGGAAGAACACCAGUGGCGAAGGCGACUCUCUGGUCUGCAACUGACGCUGAGGCUCGAAAGCAUGGGUAGCGAACAGG
rnacentral:rRNA from 1 species